GAUUAAAUGGCUGAAUUAUAGGCAAUAGAUUGUAAAUCUAUGUAUGAAGGAUUAACUUCUUUAAUCA
rnacentral:tRNA from 1 species